rnacentral:rRNA from 1 species
GACGAGGGGUCCUAGUGUUGUUUGGAAUCAUUGGGCGUAAAGCGUAUGUAGGCGGGCUUUUAAGUCGGGUGUGAAAUCCCACGGCUCAACCGUGGAAUUGCAUUCGAAACUGGAAGUCUUGAGUGUGGGAGAGAUUGGUAGAAUACCUAGUGUAGUGGUGAAAUACGUAGAUAUUAGGUGGAAUACCGGUGGCGAAGGCGGCCAAUUGGCCCAAUACUGACGCUGAGAUAUGAAAGCGUGGGGAUCAAACAGG